UUACGGUCAAAUCACGCUGAAACACCGGUUCUCGUUCGAUCACCGAAACACCGCAUCGUAGAGCCAGGUCACCGUACUUAGAUGGGGACCGCUUGGGAACACCUGGUACUGUAAG
rnacentral:rRNA from 1 species